rnacentral:lncRNA from 1 species
UAUCUAGGAGAUUAAGAUUUAAGCGAGACCAUCUAUGACCCCACUAAUCUUUCUUGGGAAUUAAACCUAGUAUGGUUUUGCCAGUUUCUUCAGUUUUGAUUCCUUUCGAGAAGAAACAUACCAGUUGUGUUCCACCUUCUUUAUUCGAGUGUAUGAAUAUUGAAGUAUUGUGUUAACCUUGGGGGCGACGUCCACUAUAUGAUUACACCAAUCAAGGCGAAUUUGCUUCUAAGGCAAUGGUUCUUCCACGGUACAUUGAUUUCUUUAUUUAUUUUCACUAUGUUUGGUUUCUUGUGAACGCUAAUUGUUUUAUUUUGCAGUAGUAUAUUUCCAACAAUUAUUAUGUCACUUGUCACAUCCAUUAUUAUAUCCUUAAUUUUUUUUAUGCUUGCAUUCACUUCGAG